GAAGGACGACACAGAUAGACCGUUGUAGUCGCAAAGUCCAUGCAGGUCGCUAGUGUUGGGAGCGAUGCAGUCGGAUACGUCAGGUGUUCGCGAAGAAGGCAAAGGAGCAUGGCGUGGGAGGGAAGGCAAAGGAGCGCAGCGUGGGAGGGAAGGAGAGGGGUGAUGGGAAGGGGAUGCCUGUGUUUGUCAUGUUGUCAUUGAACAACAUAAUGACGGGGAACACGAUGAAUUAGAGGAGGUUCAUAGUGAAGGGGAUCCACCUGCAUCAGAAGCGAAGGGGGUUUGAAUCCAAAUUCAUCAUGUUCUUUCACUAGUUUUCAUUUUUGCUUUUGAACAAUAAUAGGGAUUCUAGAAAAAAAAAUGAAAAUUUAUCUAAUACCCCAUCCAACUAUAUUCUACCUUUCUUAUUCCCGC
rnacentral:lncRNA from 1 species